GAGUAACGCGUAUCCAACCUUCCCGCAACUGGGGAAUAACCUUGCGAAAGUAAGACUAAUACCCCAUGGUCUCCACGGAUGGCAUCUGAAGUGGAGUAAAGGUUUCGGCCGGUUGCGGAUGGGGAUGCGUCCGAUUAGCUUGACGGCGGGGUAACGGCCCACCGUGGCAUCGAUCGGUAGGGGUUCUGAGAGGAAGGUCCCCCACAUUGGAACUGAGACACGGUCCAAACUCCUACGGGAGGCAGCAGUGAGGAAUAUUGGUCAAUGGGCGGAAGCCUGAACCAGCCAAGUAGCGUGAAGGACGACUGCCCUAUGGGUUGUAAACUUCUUUUAUGCGGGGAUAAAGUUCGCCACGUGUGGCGUUUUGCAGGUACCGCAUGAAUAAGGACC
rnacentral:rRNA from 1 species